CGCGCAGGCGGCUUCUCAAGUCAGGGGGUGAAAGCCCGGAGCUCAACUCCGGAAUUGCCUUUGAAACUGUGAAGCUUGAGUACGGGAGAGGUGAGUGGAAUUCCCAGUGUAGAGGUGAAAUUCGUAGAUAUUGGGAAGAACACCGGUGGCGAAGGCGGCUCACUGGCCCGUUUCUGACGCUCAUGUGCGACAGCGUGGGGAUCAAACAGGAUUAGAUACCCUGGUAGUCCACGCCGUAAACGAUGGAUGCUAGCCGUUGGCGAGCUUGCUCGUCAGUGGCGCAGCUAACGCAUUAAGCAUCCCGCCUGGGGAGUACGGCCGCAAGGUUGAA
rnacentral:rRNA from 1 species